ensembl:miRNA
GGAAUGUCACCUGUGUGUUUUCUCUGCAUACCCUCUUCAUUGUUCUGCUGAAGACUGGUCUCUUCAUGUGUGAGGGAGGAGGUUGGGUAUUGAGAAAAAACAGGGGGC